rnacentral:rRNA from 1 species
CAAAGAUGAUGAGGUUAAUAGGUUCGAGGUGGAAGCAUGGUGACAUGUGGAGCUGACGAAUACUAAUCGAUCGAAGACUUAAUCAA